rnacentral:lncRNA from 1 species
CCUGAAACUUCUCUUCAAAUACUUAAAUAUUUUAUUAGUAUCAAUUAUAUACUCAAAUAUUUUACUAUUUAUCAAAAUCAAAUAUAGGAUCAAUAGAUCCCUUUCACAUUCUUCAUAAACUUAGACCUAAUGCUUAUUAUUUAGAGUUACCUUCUGAUUUAAAAUUUAAUCCAAUUUUCAAUGUUGCAGACUUGUUUCUUAUAAAUUUGGUUUGAAAUAAAUUUUAUUCGAAUCAACAGCCUCAAACUAUGUCUAUAAUUAUACCCUAUAACUAGGCC